rnacentral:lncRNA from 12 species
GCACCAGGCCACGCAGACCGCCUAGCCUGUUUAUUAAUCGGUGUCUCAGCGCCGAUCAGCUCCUGUCGGGGAAGAGGACAGGGCUUCCUCUGCCCGCACCGCCGGAGCUCUGUGGACCGGGAUCGUGGGAGCAGCAGGCUCGGGGAUAGCGGAACCUUCGUGGUGGCACGCGCGUUUCCUGACGGCGCCCUUUUCCAGCGACACCGCCGCCCCUCGCGCCCCGCGCCCGCGCCCCCCGCGCCCGCGUCCCCGGCGCCGCCGGCCCGGAGCUCCCGGAAGUCUCGGCCCCGCUGCCGCCGGUACUCGCGAGGGGAAGCCCGGGCCGCCCGGGACCUCGGCCCGCUCCUCCGGUCCCGAGAGGCCGCCGCAUCGGGUACGCGGGCCGGGACGGAGGGAGGAGCCUGGCUCCCUCACGGCGCAAGGCCGGGCCGGACUGGGGGAGGGGCGGGCGCCACGGGGGUGGGGGUGGGGCCGGGCUGGGGGUGGAGGAAGCCCUGGGGCGGGGGAGCAUCGGCUGGCUGGGGGACCCGGGCGCCGGGGUUAGAGGAGGCGGAUCCGAGCAGUGGGCUGGAGGAAUGGGGACACAGAGGUGUCAGAUGCGCCCCGAGGGCAGGGGCGGGGGCUCCGGGGGCCACGCUGAGGGCAGCGAGGGGUGGCACGAGGCCCCCGAGGGCGAGGACGGGAGAAGUAACGGUGUCGGCGGAGAGAGGGGCGCACUCGAGGGGACCUCGGGCAGCGAGGUGCAGGGUCUGGGGGUGCAUGAAAAACAGACAAUGGGUUCGUCGGGCGGGGACCGGGGUGAGACCUGGGGGGCUAAGACAGGGCCAGUAUGGAGCCGCUGGGAACCCGGAGCUAGGCUGGCCUUCCCGGGUGGGAGGUGGCUGUGUGCCCCCGCGGACGGGGACAGGAUUCCACCCGGGCUGUGCCUGGGAAAACGGGGAGGCCCCCGACUCACUAGGAGCAGAUGACGCCCUGAGGCCGUCAAGAGAGGAACCAGACUUGGAGGUGAACAGGCUGUGA